AUAUAUAUAUAUAUAUAUAUAUAUAUAUAUCUAUUUACUCCUUUUUUUUUUCUUUUUUUUUUUUUUUUUUGUAUUAUAUUUUUAGAUUUAAAAUAUCCCUAUUUGUCAGAAGAAACUUCAUUAGUUGAAGCCGUUUUUGAUUCAUUGCUAUACUUAGGAAUUAUAUCAAAAGAUUCAUUCAUAAAAUGGUUUGCGGAAGAUAACUUAGAUUCAGAAUUAAAAAACAAAAUUAUGCUACAGCUAAUAUAUUGGCAUAAAUGGAUGGCAGAAGAUAUGACAGAUGAUGAAAAUGAAGAUAUGUAUAACGAAAACCUGGAAGAAACAGAAGAAAAAGUAAAUGAUAUAUCUGAUAUAGAAAAAGAUGUGCCUGCCAAUUUUGUAUUUAAAAAAAUUAAAAAAAAAUAUUUAUAGAGUUUAAAAAAGCACACAUACAUAACAUGUAUGUAUAUAUAUCAUAUGUAAAUGUAUAUGUUUUUUUUAUUUUUUUUUUAUUUUUUAUUUUUUUUUUUCUCAUUUCUUCUAUAUUGUAUUAGUUUUAUUUUUUUCCUUAAUUUUUUCUUUUUUACUUUGUUUAAUCUAUUUAUAUGUUUUUUCAAAAACUUGUAAUAAAUACAAAUUAACAAUUUUUAAUAUAUAUA
rnacentral:lncRNA from 1 species